GCUUCAGAGCUGAUGGAGAGACAGAGAGCACGCAACUGGUAAGUAGCCGAGAAAGCUCUCCUAAAAUAGUUGCAAAAAAUCAGACAUGGAAUUCAUGGAUUAACUGGUCACCAAUUGUUUCAGCAUUGCGUAUUGAAUAAUACAACCUUCUUCCACUGCCGUGAAAUGUCAACAGCUGCUCUCCCACUAGAUAGGGCGUAGCUUUCCACAGGUCGGCCAUUUUCUUUCUAUUCAAGAUGGUUACAUUCCACAAUAGUACUUUUACCUUCUUGCCACAUCAUGCAGCCUGCUAAACCAUUGUGUUUAUAUAUUUUACCUUUCAAGAAUCCUAGCUGUAUACAGUUUAGAACAGUAAUUUUCAAAUAGGGUAUAUAUAUAUAUAUAUAUGAACAUAAUAUAUUUAUUCUUAAGCAAGUAUAUAUCUUAUAUAAAACUUAAAUAUAUAGAACUCAUAUAUACAUAUAUGUAUAUAUUUAAGAGAGUUAUAGAUCUUUAUUUGUUUAUUUAUUUAUCUAUUUAUUUUUACAAAUUAGAAGUUGGGAAAUCCAAUGACAUAGAACACUGUUCCAGGUGUUAACUGUUUUUUUUUUUUUUUGAUGAUUCUGACAUUCCAGUUGUGUAUUUAAAAGGAAGUACUGAAGGGGUUAAUGCAAAAUUUUUCUGUUCCUCAAGUAUUCAGAGAGUUAAAGCUGUGUGAAUUUGGUUCCUGGAAUUCUCUAGAGGGAAAUAAGAGGGAAAUGUAAGAAAUGCAUGAGAUGCAGAAAUGUUUUCAAUUAUGUUGCUGGAAGUAAUACGAUCUCGGGAUCUAAAGGAUGGAGGGUAAGUCUCAAUACAUGCUACCACUGUCAUUAUAUCUUCAAGACGUGAAAACAUCGCUGUGGUCCAUCUCUAUUUACUGCAAGCAGAAGGGUCAAGACAGAAAACAUAGAGGCUUUUAGUAGGAGGUAAGUUAAACAGUAACAGAAGUAUUUGACAGUUAAAAAUCACCUGCUGUUCUCUGUUUCACCCUUUACUCCAUCCCAGUUCCAUCCACCCACCCACCCCCUGCCUAUUGACUUCUAACCACAGUCACUGGUCUUUUCUGAUUUUGGACAGAAAAAGAGGGUAAGUAUCAGGUUGCUUUCUUUGCCUGCUGUUAUUGCAAGGGACUCUUUUGGCUCAUAGACACAGCUCCAGUCAUUUCCUGACUUGCCAUAUUAGGCUGUGAUUUGUUUAUGACUGGAGUCUGGUUUCCCUGGCAACAGAAGCUCACCAGGGCAUGCGCAUUGGCUCAUCUGCAGUGGCAGAAUGCGGCUGUGGGGCCUUGGGGAGGGAUCCCCCCCCCCCCGCCUCCACACCCCCGCAGUGACUGGAAGAGGUAUUCUACAGACGUCAGUUUUUCUCUUCUUAAACUGCGACUGUUAACUGCAGAUAAGCAUAGCAUUUUUUUAAAUCCUCACAAUACUUCGAGAUUUCUCCCUUGUUUUCUCUCCUAGCACAGCCACAGUCAAUAGGUUCACCAGUGAUCAUGACGUUUUUCCAGUUAUUAUGGAAAAUAUCCCUAGGGUCCAAAGGGAUCCUUAUAGUGUGGCUAUAGAAAACAAAUGGCCUAGUUUCAAAGCUCCAUCUCUUUCUUGAUAGUUGUAUGAAAUUCUUUAGUCAUCCUGUGUCUCAGCUUCCUCAGCCAUAAAAUAUGAAUAAUAACAGCACAUUUAGAAAAAUGUUACAUAUUAAACAUUAAAAAGUAUUCCUUAUUGUUAUUUGUAGAUGUCAAAAAAUUAUGUGGCACAGACUGGUGCCUGCACUGUACAGCCAAUGCUGAACAAAUUACAGACACAGGCAUUUAACCCUACAGAAUGCAGACACCUCACAUAGCCCACAGAUGACCUACAGCAGAGUGUUGCACUCUCCUGAGGCUCAUUACUAUAUACCAUAGCAAAAGAAUAGCCCCUUAUCACAUGGACACCUUCCAUGACAUUAGGCUCUUUUAGAUUGCACACAAGUUCUCUUCAACACAGAGGCCAAGCUAAAGGACAUUUAUUAGAAACACAUGGUGCAUCUUACCUCACCAUGAAGACAUUGUCUGUAACAAAGAGAAAAUCUCAACACUAUAGCUCAUCUCCACAUCACACGGACUCUAUCCAGAACACACAAAAGUAUAUAGACUUAUUCUGUACAACAUAGAUUCUUCCAGGGCAGACAUGCUUUAUCAUAUCAUUGAGCUACAAUUCUGGCCUACAGCAGAGAUACAGCCUGGUAUCCAUUAAGAGCAAGGCCUCUGGACCCAGGCUUCCUGGGCUUGCCUCCUGAUCCCAUCUUUUACUAAUUGUAUCGCCACAGGAAGAAAGGCUCCAGAUUUAUGUUUCCUGGUAUUGCUGCUAUUGGUAUUACUGUCCAUUAUUACUAUCAUCAUCAUCAUCACUAUUAUUAUUAUUAUUUUGCAAUUAAACUACAUUGGUGAAUCUUUAAUGUCCAUCUGACCUGAGACUGAAAUAGCUACAGUGCAAGACGGAGAGAGGCCUUCAUGCAUGGUGUGCAUUUGCCACCUAGUGACCACACUGAGGGUCAGCACGAUGGAUCAGAACUGGACAAGAAAUAGACUAUUCUCAAGAAUCAGUAAUCUAGAAACAAGAGUUGGCAUCGAGGACUUGUGAAAUAUUUCUGAUUUGAAUGGUACUCAUGAUGACAAUAAGAGAUCAGCAACACAUCCAAAGAUUUUUGUUAAAUGAGAUAAUCGAAAGAACAGUUAAAUGUUACACUAAAACUUGAGAAUUUUUAAAAUAAAAAAGUUGCUUAAAAUAGGAGAAGGAACAUGGACCAUCCACCCAGUCUUCCAAACAACAUCCCUCACCCAUAGUUGAAACUUUGGCUUCAGACCCUUCUCUGGCACUUCUGACAAUAAGUUUGGUGACCCAUGCUCUGGAGGAAGAAAGUGAAGAAGAGCAAGACUACUUCUCUGCAGCAAACUCUGAUGUUCUCUGUUCUUUCCUUACCACUGUUGUCAUGAGCAGCAUUUUUUCCCAUAGGUGCAUUGUUAUCCUUGCCAUGAGAGCAGACAAAAAUGAAAAAUAGUUGCCAAGUAACCAGAACUGCUGAUAAGAAACUUUGGGAAAUACCACUGAGAUGUGCUUUGGUAUUUUAUUUCUGGGAACAAACCAAUUGUCUUGGACUUUCACAGUACUCUUUUCUAUGUCUCACCCUUUACCACAAAGGUCCUUAAGUCCUUUGACAUGCAUAGUGUGAGGGAUUCUGGCACACAUUCUAGAACCUCGCAAAGUGGGGGGGGGGGGCUGCUAUCUGCUUUAUCAUCUUCAUUCCUGAAGUUUACUUUAAUUCUGAUUAGUUUGGCAUAAGGUCAUUUGUUGUAUGUAGUCAUCUGAGUUAUGUAUUGCCUGAUCCUGAGUAGCAGAGUAUUUAUCAUAAAUUCCUUGAUUUGCAUUGGUACCUAAUCAAGGAGGAGGAUAGUAUAGUUAAUUUCCAUACUUCCCUCUUGUUCUCAUGUUUGCCUCACCCAAGUGUUUCUGAGAUGCUGAACCUCCUCCAGAAAAGGUAAUGCUAAAAUUUCCUGUUCCCAAAAGGUGCUGCAGAACUCACUUCUAGUUGAAGUUUGAGUGUUUAAUUCACUUUUGUAAUCUCAUUAUUUGACUAAAGUAUUGUUAAAGUGA
rnacentral:lncRNA from 1 species